UAAAAUAUGAUAAGUGGUUAGUAGUGGGAUUAUGUGGAUAUUGUUUUUAAAUUAUUUCCAAGAAAAUCCCAAAAAAAUCUCUCCCACUUUUCCCACUCCCUUUGUCUCUUUUCCUUUUUGCUGUCUAUACUGUUACUUUCCCCACAAUUUUCCUUUUCAAUUUUUGUUCCUUCUCAUUCUACUCACCGAAACUGUUCUUUGCUCAUAACUUUUUUUUUCAAUUCUUUCUCUAUUGUUCCAAACUCUGUGCUAGUUGGCAUGAGUUCCUUUGUUUGAAUCCUUUUCAGUUGUUCCAAUUUUUGGGUUUUGGCUGUACGCAUUUGUGGAGAAGAUCGUGAGACGGUUGAUCCUCCGGCGAACUAAGUUUUUAUUUACGUUGUGGUUUCAUUCAAGGUUGGUAAAAAGCAUGCUAAUUAGUGUGAAUUGUACUCGUUCUUGAAUCUACAUCGGAAACUAACUAGGUAACCAACAACCUUAGGGCAUAUCGGCGUAGCAGGAGCUCGGUUUAAAUUAUUGUUUUUAAAUUCUAUUGAGUUUAAGUACCAUUUUAAAUUGGAAUGUUUUUGGA